rnacentral:rRNA from 1 species
CAAUAGCGUAUAUUAAAGUUGUUGCAGUUAAAAAGCUCGUAGUUGGAUUUCUGGUGGGAGCGAUCGGUCUGGCGCUUAGCGCGAGUACUUGCAUCGUCUCCGGCCAUCCUUGGGGAGAGUCUGUCUGGCAUUAAGUUGUCGGGCAGAGGAUCCUCAUCGUUUACUGUGAAAAAAUUAGAGUGUUCAAAGCAGGCUUAUGCCGUUGAAUAUAUUAGCAUGGAAUAAUAAGAUAGGACUUUGGUACUAUUUUGUUGGUUUGCGCACCAAAGUAAUGAUUAAUAGGGACAGUUGGGGGUAUUCGUAUUCCGUUGUCAGGGGUGAAAUUCUUGGAUUUACGGAAGACGAACUACUGCGAAAGCAUUUACCAAGGAUGUUUUCAUUAA